CCUACGGGGUGCAGCAGUGGGGAAUAUUGGACAAUGGGCGAAAGCCUGAUCCAGCCAUGCCGCGUGUGUGAAGAAGGCCUUCGGGUUGUAAAGCACUUUCAGUGGGGAAGAAAGCCUUGGGGCUAAUACCCUCGAGGAAGGACAUCACCCACAGAAGAAGCACCGGCUAACUCCGUGCCAGCAGCCGCGGUAAUACGGAGGGUGCGAGCGUUAAUCGGAAUUACUGGGCGUAAAGCGCGCGUAGGCGGUCUGAUAAGCCGGUUGUGAAAGCCCCGGGCUCAACCUGGGAACGGCAUCCGGAACGGUCAGGCUAGAGUGCAGGAGAGGAAGGUAGAAUUCCCGGUGUAGCGGUGAAAUGCGUAGAGAUCGGGAGGAAUACCAGUGGCGAAGGCGGCCUUCUGGACUGACACUGACGCUGAGGUGCGAAAGCGUGGGUAGCAAACAGGAUUAGAUACCCUAGUAGUC
rnacentral:rRNA from 1 species